GAAGGCAGUCCUGAUGACAUUGUUAUAUAUCCAUCCCAAGGCUCAGGACAUGGCAGGGUCGGGUAUUAGCUGAUUAUCUGAUUCUGUCAGCAGAGAGCUUUCAGCAAGUCCAAAGAGCCUGCCCCUAGAUUUCCUCAGGGAAAGACUCAGCUUAGACACCUACAGUGGGGUCCUUGUGUGGAGCUCUGCCCCUGGAAAGGAUCCUGCGUACUGAUACUGCCAGUAUGUAUUCACAGGUGGGGGCGGAAGCGCGAAACCGUCUUCCAGGCCUCACGGUGCCACAGGGUUCCGGGAGUUUAGGUGACUGAUGCUGGCUUCCCUCUCUCCGGAACUGGAGCCACAGAUUCUCUCUCCUGCCUUCAAGAGAAAAACAUUUCUGCUACUCUUCAAGGCCAAGAAGAAACUCUGAAGAGCUCUUUUGUGAAGAUCAGCUGGUCAGACCAUCCCUUCCGGUCCAAAUUGGAGCUCUGUUUUACACCAUCACUGAUUCCCUCUCCUUCUCUGUGUGGAUACAGAGCGUCUCCCAUCUCUGGGGGAACUUUCCUUCAGGCCAGUGGUGCUGGGCAGCCUUGUUGCCAUUCUGGCCAGAGCCUGGAGCUCAGUCCUCUGGAGGGGCACAGGGCAGCGUUCUGGCAAGCAAGCAUGUCAGAGCAGCUCUGGCGUUUCCCUAGAACAAUUCAAAUUGCUUUUUUUACACCUCACUGCACUAUGCCAACCCUGAUUCACAUUAUUUGUGCACUCGCUAAGUGUACAUUAUCUGAUCCGUCACCCUGUAAAACGUUGCAAGAGGAAUCCGUGGCUCCUGUCUGCUGCUGACUGUAGGUCAGGGACAGAAGUUUCUGUACAAAUAUUUUGCAAAACGGGAAGGAAGGAAUAAACCCAAUGCCUCCAACAAUAGCCCACCAUGGACAUGGGCUGGGAGAGAAAGUCCAUGCCUCCUGCCCCAGUAACUCAGACUCUCCUGGAAAGACAGUUCAACCAGAAAGCCCCAGAACCUUUGCUUCCCAUGGCCUCCUUUUUGUGUCACAUUAUUUAACAAGAAGAGACAAGCAGGAGGAGAAAUAAGUCUUUGAACCCAGCUAUGCAGAUUUCCUCUGACUGGAGCUAAGGGAUUUGGAGAGAGUUGGAGGCAAGAGGUAGAGGGAGGUGGGCUUGUAAGAGUAGGCAAGACAUAUUCCCUCUCUGUCCUGUGUCUAUCUCAGCUUCUCUGGAGGUGAAUAGGGCUCCUUGUCCUGCUUAGUCCAAGGUUCUCCAAAAACUGACCAAAGACCCUGGAAUCCUUCCACUCUGAGUCAUCUGGGAACUUCGCUAACUGGCUGCCUGGCUCUCCUAUGAACCCCUUGAGACAGCUUAUCUCUAGGAAGCCAAAGUCCUCUAGAAUUAUUAGAAAAUGGAUUUGACCAGAUAUCAUUCUGCCUUUUUGUUUUUCCCUCCUGCAAUCUGGGUAAAUGGGAAACUUUUUUUUUUCUUAGAGAUCUUACGCUGUCCCAAAUCGUCACUGGAAUUCGGCAACCCAUCCCAUUAAAGAUUGGGGUCUCAUUUCUGAAUGGAAAAAGCUAGGAUCUUCUGAAGAUUGGCUGAAUGCCCUGGUCAGAUUUAAAAGUAGAUCCCUCUUUUAGCAGGGAGAGCUUCGUCUUCAUCUUCACGUUCAAGACAAAUGACUUGCUCUGCAAGAGUCCAGGUAUCCUGCACCAUCUCAGCUCUGCAUUCAAGUCACUACAUGUAUAUGGAGAGCACACGGGGUGCAUGAACCUAUCCCAGGGCCUGUGAAAUGGGUGAAGCAGAGCAAGACCUGGUCCCUGCCCUGAGGUUGCUUAUGAUCUGGUUGGAUUGACAAAUAGCUGCCUUUCCCAGCGGUUCCUGAUUUGGAUCCAGCCCCAGGGCUCCUGAAGGGCAUUUUGCAGCAGUGAAACCCAGGGGUCACCCAGCUGAGAACCACGUUUCCUUUCUGUUGGCAGGAGCCAGCAGCUUUCACAUAGGAACUCAUAUCUCUCUGAAAGCAAGAAAUCUGAUGCCUCACUGACAACUCAUUUUCUCAACCUUCAUUCCGGGGGAAGGCGACUUUGUGUUCCAGCUGCCAUAUUGUAGCUGCAAAUCCUGAUGCACCAUCAAUUAAAAACAACAACAAUUAUGCAUGGGGGGAAAAGCCACAGAUAAUGGGCUUCCAUUAGAUUAAGUAGUUAUAGGCAUAGAAAAGUAAAACCUAUACUUCGGCUAAUUAAACCCACUCACCAUCUGAUUAAGCUGUGUUGUGAGACCAUGGAAAAGUACCAACCACUAACUGUAAGUAAUCCGGCACAGAUGGGGAUUAAUAGCAUAUUCCCUGGCAUAGAGAUAAUGGAUCUCCAUUGAGGUUAAUCAGGAUCAUUAAUAAGCCUUGACAAGAUGGACAGUACCAAACAGCUGGCACCUAAUGUCAGGGUCAGGGCAGACCAUGCUCCUAAUAAAAAUGGCUUCUCAAUUCCACUCCACCUACUGAGAUCAGCUGCUGAGAAGGGAUGUGCUGACCUCUUGAGAUGCCAUCAGAUUUGACAUUCUACUGUAGUUCUAGACCUGCUGUCUUGACUCAAGUGACCCAACCAAAGAAUAUGGAGUUAGGAGCCAGCUGCCCUGCCUUGGAAGGGUCUCUGUGCCAGAUCAUCGUGCUUCAAGGGUAACUAGGAACCAAAGCAGUGGGUGCCCUGAGAAGGCAGCAUGACCUCUAAGAGGUGGGGCUCGGGUUACCAUGGGGACCAGGCCUACAGCAGGGCUUAGGUGCCAGAGUGGGGCCUUGUUGACAUAGCCACAAGGAUGUAGUUUUGGGGGCUGAGAAUCAAGGGCAAACCCAAGAAAGAACCCCUGGGAGAAACAGCUGUGGGGUGAAAGAUGAGCACGUCCACUGUAUGGAGAGUGGAAUGGGGAUCUGAGGGGCGGGAGCUGGCUGGUCCGAGCUCUCUCAGACAGAGUGUGCCCAGCGCCCACUUAGCAGCUACUCUCCAGCCGGCUCUGUCCUUCGGAGCAGCUGGGAGGAGAGCACCCGGGCCUUGCCUUCUAAUUACCACUAAUUGGGUAAAUGCUGAGACGAUCUCUCUCCCCCUUCCCUUUCACUCCCUCCUCCCACAAACGCAACUGAGAGAUGCAGAGAGGUCAAAAAGAGACUUUUCCAAAUGGAGACAGGCAAGGAUGACAUGGUGUGAAUACCAAGCAGCCACUGCCCCUGGGAAGGGAGAGAGGGACAGGGAGAAGGGAGGCUGCUGAGAGGGUGGCAGCUUCUAGGAGGCACUGAGCGAGAAGAGGGAAGAAAUGGGGCAAAGGUGGGGGGCAGGCUGAGUUUCGGGAGCUCAGGUCACUUUCCCAAUUCGGCUUCCUCUCUCCUCCCCUUUGGAGCAACAUGGAUGUCUUGUUUAGGUUUGUUUAGAUUGUUUAGAUGUCUUGUUUAGAUUGAAGUGAUGCAAUCCAUUUUCUGGGACUUUUUCCUUUCAGAGCCCUUGGCUCCAGAUCCUGGAACUCCUGGGUUUACGUUUAUGGAGUAGGUUCUUCAGAUAGUCUGGAUGGGAGAGGAGGGGCCAAGCUGACUCAGACUAUAUGCAAGGUCAAACUGACUGUGACCCUGAGGGCAAAAGCAAUACUUUUUUCCUUUCUCUCCAGCUGUGGGUGGCAGCCAUGUCUGUGUCUGAGACAGGCUAAGAAGCUCAUGGAUUUAGGUUUGAGGCAAUAAAUUCGUUUCAACAGAG